AGCGAACGCUGGCGGCAGGCCUAACACAUGCAAGUCGAACGAACUCUUCGGAGUUAGUGGCGGGCGGGUGAGUAACACGUGGGAACAUGCCUUUUGGUUCGGAAUAACUCAGGGAAACUUGUGCUAAUACCGAAUGUGCCCUUCGGGGGAAAGAUUUAUCGCCAUUAGAGCGGCCCGCGUCUGAUUAGCUAGUUGGUGAGGUAACGGCUCACCAAGGCGACGAUCAGUAGCUGGUCUGAGAGGAUGACCAGCCACACUGGGACUGAGACACGGCCCAGACUCCUACGGGAGGCAGCAGUGGGGAAUCUUGCGCAAUGGGCGAAAGCCUGACGCAGCCAUGCCGCGUGAAUGAUGAAGGUCUUAGGAUUGUAAAAUUCUUUCACCGGGGACGAUAAUGACGGUACCCGGAGAAGAAGCCCCGGCUAACUUCGUG
rnacentral:rRNA from 1 species